CAAGGAGACCACCGAGAUGGAUGGCGAUAAAGUCAGGGAGGGUCCAGGACUUCUUCUUUUCCAGUGAGGCGGGGUGUCAGUGGGAGUUGGGCCGGAAAACCCAACAAAAGGAGCAGCCGCAAGCAACCGCAAUGGGGGAAAAGAUGGAAAAACGCAGGGAGCCCAGCAGGACUUGUUUUGUAUUUGUCCCGAAAAAAGAGGAGAGCAAAAAUUUGUUUUAAUGCCACGCUCUUUUUAUGCUUUUCUUUAUAACUUCUUUUCAGCUUUUUUGUCAUGUUACAAUUCUGCAGCGACAGCAGUAAAAAAUAAUACCCCCACCCCCGCCCCCACCGGCAUGCGGCAACUGGCAACCGCAACUCAACUUGUGCAACAUCAUAAACCCAUUUGCGUUUUUAAUUAGUAACAACGCAACUUGGCGGACUGAAGCGGUCGGCCGAGGGCGAAAAGUAAAUGACCAUGCACAAAAUGUUGCACAGAUAACAAGUCCUGGCCUCACAAGCCCCAAAAAAAAAAAAAAACAAAAAAUAAAAACUGGAGCAAAUAAGUAGUGCGAACGCAACUGUGCAAUGAGCACUGGAAACUGGGAACAGGGAACUGGGAGCAGGGAACAGGGAGCCGCCGGUGGUCAGUUCAUCCUCAUCACCGUCAAAAGAGUCCGCCGCCAACAAAGUUGAAAAAGCGCAGCUCAAGUGGAGCAGCCUCCAGUCCCACAGUCCUACAGUCGCCGGAAAUGGUUUCGGUUUCGGGUUUCGUGGCUCACUUUUUAUUAUUUUCAAACAUUUUUUUCAGUUCGUAUAUGGGGCAACGACCCCGGGUCACUGCGACUGACCAGUAAAGAGGAUUCCGUGAGGGAGGUGCCGACAGGUGUAGUGUCCUUCAAGUGGCGAGGAUAACACACCCGGAACACCAGCGCUAAUUAAAGACAGUGAAAUAAGUUAUUGUGUUAUACAAAUAGGCGAUUGACAAUGAAAUUAAUUACUUAAACAACAUAUCAACUUUGUUAUAUACAUUAUAUUAGUUGCAUUGAAUAUUUUUUGAGGUGUUAAAAUAAAUGUCGACUACUUUAA